GACGAACGCUGGCGGCGUGCUUAACACAUGCAAGUCGAACGGAAAGGCCCUGCUUUUGUGGGGUGCUCGAGUGGCGAACGGGUGAGUAACACGUGAGUAACCUGCCCUUGACUUUGGGAUAACUUCAGGAAACUGGGGCUAAUACCGGAUAGGAGCUCCUGCUGCAUGGUGGGGGUUGGAAAGUUUCGGCGGUUGGGGAUGGACUCGCGGCUUAUCAGCUUGUUGGUGGGGUAGUGGCUUACCAAGGCUUUGACGGGUAGCCGGCCUGAGAGGGUGACCGGCCACAUUGGGACUGAGAGACGGCCCAGACGCCUACGGGAGGCAGCAGGGGGGAAUAUUGCACAGUGGGCGGAAGCCUGAUGCAGCAACGCCGCGUGCGGGAUGACGGCCUUCGGGGUGUGAACCGCUUUCGCCUGUGACGAAGCGUGAGUGACGGUAAUGGGUAAAGAAGCACCGGCUAACUACGUG
rnacentral:rRNA from 1 species